rnacentral:lncRNA from 1 species
AUCUUCCAGGAGGGAAUGAUUCCCAGGAGCUGACCAUGGUACUAAGCCAGAUGUAGGCAAGGAGACCAAGAGCUGCACCUGGAUGAUCUGGGACAUGUUCUGUGGACUGGAGUCAGGAGGGCCCCAAAGUGGCCCCAGCAAAGGCAACAGAGGAGGUAGAGCAUGGUGACACGUUGCAAAGUGCAAAGGCGCUGGCCCUGGGAGAGGCAACUGAGAAAGUAGAGGUUGCUGAGAAGACGGAAGGUACAGAGUGGGGCAACAUGUCAGACAAUCCCUACUGGAGGAGAGUUGUGGGCAUCAGUGGGAUCAUCCUGAUCAUGCUCAAGGUCCUUGGCGUCAUCUACUUUGCCUGAAGCAGCUGGGCUGGGGCCGUCCAGGAGGAGGCAGAGCUGCUGCUUCUCCAGGAUCAUCAUGAACAGGGACAAAGCGUUUCCUACUGGGAGACCCAUGGGCCUGGGACCAAGGAUUACAUUAAUAAAAAUGUUCCCUUGGUGUCAUGCAUCAAGGGCUACCAGCAGCAGCACACACAUGCCGUGUGGCAGGACAGAGCAAAGUCCAUUCGCCAUUACAGAAAGUAUGCAAAUGAGAACAUCUGUUCCUUUACAAAAUGAGUCAUUUUCUC